AAGUUAUAAUAAGUUAGAAUGGAAGAAUCUGAUGCUGACUACUAAUGUUCAACCUAGACACAAAUUCACUAUAUGGCUAGCUGCCAACACACACUGCCUACUAUUGACAGAUUACAGAAGUAUGGAAUCCAAGUGCCUGCUAACUGUGUGUUCUAUAAUCAGCAUGUUGAAAACUUUGAGCAUUUGUUCUUUGAUUGCUCAAUCACUAAUCGACUAUGGGCCAGACUAUGUUGUUGGCUGGGGUACAAUAGAACAGUUGGUAAUUGGGAAGCUGAACUUCAAUGGAUCUGCAGCAAAGCUAGGAGCAAAAUGUGGCACAAAGCAAUCACUGCUUCUGCCUUUGUGAUUGCUGUUGCCCUUAUUUGGAGAGAAAGGAAUCUACANNNNNNNNNNNNNNNNNNNNUUGCCUUUGUGACUGCUGUUGCCCUUAUUUGGAGAGAAAGGAAUUGCAUUCGUUUU
rnacentral:lncRNA from 1 species